rnacentral:tRNA from 1 species
GGUUCAAUGGUCUAAUGGUUAUGAUUUCUGUCUCACAUACAGAAGGUUCCCAGUUCGAUCCUGGGUUGAGCCA